ACGAGGGGGGCAAGCGUUGUUCGGAAUUAUUGGGCGUAAAGGGCGUGUAGGCGGUGCGGUAAGUCUGUGGUGAAAUCUCCGGGCUCAACUCGGAAAUUGCCGUGGAAACUGCCGUGCUUGAGUAUGGGAGAGGAGAGCGGAAUUCCCGGUGUAGAGGUGAAAUUCGUAGAUAUCGGGAGGAACACCAGUGGCGAAGGCGGCUCUCUGGACCAAUACUGACGCUGAGAAGCGAAAGCGUGGGGAGCAAACAGGA
rnacentral:rRNA from 1 species